UACGUAGGCGGAAAAUUAAGUCAGUAGUGAAAUCCUGCAGCUUAACUGUAGAACUGUUAUUGAUACUGGUUUUCUUGAAUAUAGUUGAGGUAGGCGGAAUGUGUAAUCUAGCGGUGAAAUGCUUAGAUAUUACACAGAACACCGAUUGCGAAGGCAGCUUACUAAGCUAUGAUUGACGCUGAGGUACGAAAGCGUGGGGAGCGAACAGGAUUAGAUACCCUGGUAGUCC
rnacentral:rRNA from 1 species